AUUUUUAAAAUAGUUUUUAUAUAUGAUCAAUUGGAGAGAUAGUGUUUCAUUUUAGGCUUUUGGUUCUUAUUUAUAUAUUUGUUGGUCUUGUCUCUAAAGCCGUUCUAACUCUCGAAGUAACUCUCCUGCAGACUGUUGGCAGCCGUUUUGCGUGUGAUAACCGGUAAACUAUAUAAACUUAUACGGAGGCAAAAACAUGCUCACUGCUCGGUAUUCUGAUGAACCGGAACUGCCUUUAUUUGCAUAUGUCCUUUUAUGGAAGACAGGUCACAGAUCACGUGAGCAGUAUGAGGGCACACUCAAUACAAAUGUUAACAUUUUCUCUUUAUUCUGGGAAAAACAAUGUUUCGGGGGUCAAAAGGGUUAACACGGAUACACUGUAAAAAAAAAAAAAAAAAGAAAAUCCGUAACAAUACAGUAAAAACGUCUGUUUUUAACUGAAGGAAUUCUCCGUAUUUUUAGUUUACAGGCGUUUUUCCGUAAUUUUCAAUGACGCAUUGCAUUGUGGGUGCAAGAUCCUUGCGGCGAGAAACAAACGCCAUUACUAAACAGAUUACUUCAUUCAGUUUCCGGAGAAGGAUUAGUUUAACGCUUCUAACGUAAAAUGUAAGUUAAGGAUUUAGUUUUUGUUUUUUACAAUCUUUAGUAAUGCCAACGUUGUAUUUAGGCGCUAUAUCUUAUUAGUUCGUUGAGACCCGUUGAGUUUAACUUCACGUUGCUGUUUUGCAUGUCUUCACACAACGACACAAUUAUUUGCUUCCAGUUUCGAUUUAAUUGGUAUUGGUGGAGAUAAUGUCAAUAUAUGUGACUGUGCCCUUAUAUUUCAGUGUUUUAUUAGACUAAUUUAUUGUGGGCGCAAGAAAUUUCUGGCGCGAAUCGCGUGCGGGAGAAGCAAACGUCAUCAACACACGGUUUACUUCAUCCGGAGAAAGAUUAACGACCCUGAGGAGUCGCGCAGGAGUUGGACAAGGCCAGGGAUGAAGACUUGAUUCAGAAACACCGCCGCGAUCCCUUUGUAGUCUUUUAAGAGGUUGGUGGUGAAUAUCGUGCUGAGGUGUUCAUGUCCUCGUUUUUAAUUCAACAUUUGUGCCAAGCACUUGAUUUGAUAGCUUUAGACGUAAUAAGGAAUAUGUUGAAGAAAUAAAAAGGUAUUAUGUCAUCUUUUACAACCUCAUAGUCAUUUAAAGUCUUUGUGCAAUACUUGUGCUUUUUAAAAUGCAUUUCACACCUGAGUCCUCAAGUGAACUGAAUAAAGGGUCAAAACGUGACAAACUGUA